UACGGAGGGUGCUAGCGUUGUUCGGAAUUACUGGGCGUAAAGCGCACGUAGGCGGCUUUGUAAGUUAGAGGUGAAAGCCCGGGGCUCAACCCCGGAAUUGCCUUUAAGACUGCAUCGCUUGAAUCCAGGAGAGGUGAGUGGAAUUCCGAGUGUAGAGGUGAAAUUCGUAGAUAUUCGGAAGAACACCAGUGGCGAAGGCGGCGCACUGGACUGGUAUUGACGCUGAGGUGCGAAAGCGUGGGGAGCAAACAGG
rnacentral:rRNA from 1 species